rnacentral:rRNA from 1 species
AGAGACAGCAGUAGCCACGGAAUACGGAGGGUGCAAGCGUUAUCCGGAUUUAUUGGGUUUAAAGGGUCCGUAGGCGGAUCUGUAAGUCAGUGGUGAAAUCUCACAGCUUAACUGUGAAACUGCCAUUGAUACUGCAGGUCUUGAGUAAGUUUGAAGUGGCUGGAAUAAGUAGUGUAGCGGUGAAAUGCAUAGAUAUUACUUAGAACACCAAUAGCGAAGGCAGGUCACUAAGAUUUAACUGACGCUGAUGGACGAAAGCGUGGGGAGCGAACAGGAUUAGAUACCCCCGUAGUCCCUGUCUCUUAUACA